UGAGUUCUAUGACCGAAUGUCUAUUUCCCGCAGUUGCUCUCACCACCAUUCCUUUCAAGGUACUACAAUAAGAUUAUUAACACUAUGAAAAGACUAAAAUGUUCAGGGAGCCACUAAACAUUGUCAUUUCAAGCUGAUGGCAACGGUGAUUUACAAACAUACAUUUCUAGAAAUCUAUGAACGAUUAGACAGUGACUUGCGAUUCUAUUGCGUCGAUACAACGACUGUAACCCUGAAUAAAACGACUGUCAAGAUAUUCACAGUAUCAAUGAAAUUUCUGUUCAUAUGCUACAAAAUGCUGGUGUUCAAUUACGUUAUUGUUCCACUUCUUUUCAUUCUCUAUCAAAUUGUAGCUAACGUACUUCCCACUAUAUUGGUAUUGCCUUUUCCAUGUACCUACUUUGAAAUAUUCACGAGUGAUGCUAUUAUUUUUGUAAAUAAUACGUAAAUGAAUCUAAUUCAUUUAGAGAUGAGCGAGAAAGUCAAAAUGUAGUGGAAAUGUCUUCCCGUUGAUAAGUCGUGUAACUCAUUUGAAUCAUAAUCCGCAUUUUCAAAGCCGAUAGAUAGAUUGCAGAUUUCAACACGAGAAUGCUGCUCAUAUAUGUCGGUUGGAUAUUAUUGAAAUACUUGCAGAUAUUGACUUGUGGGUGGUAUGGCUUGGUGUUGAUUUCAGAGAGUGAGAACCUGAGCAAUGCGAUUUAUUCCUGCAAGUGGCCGGAUGUCUACAACAGAAAAUUCAUGACCCACGUUGCACAUGUGCUGCAGCAGAAGGAUCGCCCAUCGCGAUAAAUGUUUAUGGAUUCUUCGUCAUAUCCAUUCCCCUGGCUUCAUCGAUCAUUACGGCUUCGUUCUCGUAUUUUUUCUUAUUAGAAUCUCUUGACCAAGGAAAGUAGUGGAGGAUAACCGGAAAAACUG